GACGAACGCUGGCGGCGUGCUUAACACAUGCAAGUCGAACGGAAAGGCCCUGCUUUUGUGUGGUACUCGAGUGGCGAACGGGUGUGUAACACGCGAGUAAAAUGCCCUUGACUUUGGGAUAACUUCAGGAAAAUGGGGAUAAUACCGGAUAGGAGCUUUUGAUGCACGGUGGGGGUUGGAAAGAUUCGGCGGUUUGGGAUGGACUCGCGGCUUAUCAGCUUGUUGGUGAGGUAGUGGAUUACGAAGGCUUUGACGGGUAGCCGGCCUUAGAGGGUGACCGGGCACAAUGGGACUAAGGGACGGCCCAGACUGCUACGGGAGGCAGCAGUGGGGAAUAUUGCGCAAUGGGCGGAAGCCUGAUACAGCAACGCCGCGUGCGUAAUAACGGCCUUCGGGUUAUAAACCGCUUUGGCCUGAGACGAAGCGUGAGUGACGGUAAUGGGUAAAGAAGCACCGGCUAACUACGUG
rnacentral:rRNA from 1 species